CCCUUAGAUGUCCUGGGCUGCACGCGCGCUACACUGAUGUGUCCAGUAAGCACCUAACCUCUUCCGAAAGGAACGGGUAACCUUUGCAAAGCACAUCGUGAUGGGGAUAGAUUAUUGCAAUUAUUAGUCUUGAACGAGGAAUUCCUAGUAAGCACAAGUCAUCAGCUUGUGUUGAUUACGUCCCUGCCCUUUGUACACACCGCCCGUCGCUCCUACCGAUUGAAUGUUCCGGCGAGCUCUUCGGACUGCGCGGUCUGCAGUUUCUGCGUUCCGUGCGGAAAGUUGCGCAAACCUUAACAUUUAGAGGAAGGAGAAGUCGUAACA
rnacentral:rRNA from 1 species